rnacentral:rRNA from 1 species
GCCAGCAGCCAUAUCACUCUGUAACUCACAAAUGGCAAUCCACUAAAGCUCAGCAGGUGUGAGCCUGCCAGUACCUGGAUGGGAGACCUCCUGGGAAAAACUAAGGUUGCUGUGGUCU